rnacentral:lncRNA from 1 species
UAGUUAGUCACCAGCCAGGCUUAAGAAACAAUUCAUAUUUACGUCUCUAGAUAAUUUUGUACAAAGUGAGAUCUUAAGUGCACCUUUUAAAAUCAAAAAGUUCCUGCCAGGUGCUUCUGCAAGUACAACCUCAUUGUGGUCAGAUAGAAAUGGAUUGUGCAGAAGACCACAUUGAGAGUUGACAUAAGGAAUGUCUGAACGACUCCAAGUAGAGUAUUUUUUACAGCUGAAUACGAGGAACGCAUAUACGAUUGCAUCCAUGUGUCUGGCCAGACCAACAUUGUGGAACAGGCACAAUGUGUCAAGUUGUUUUGUUUCUGAAUAAGGCCAAGGAGAAACUUUAGCGUCCCUGGGACAGGUUAGUGACAGGCAAUGGGACCAUAAGGUAAACUGCACUCACAUUCUUCAGGCACCUAUGGUAACAGGCAGAGUCGUGUAAAUCGAACACCCUACAAAGGGACAAGUAAAUAUGAACAUUUGAGGGAGCUCUGACAAUUUAGAGAACUUGAGCAUUUGAACCAUCAGAAACAAAGGUAAACAAAUCUGUUUACACAAGUGUUGUGAUCCACAUUCCCUUUUACUCCAGACCAUUCCCAAACAGCAAGCACAUGUUAUGCAGAAGAGAACAUAAUAUUUUAAGGACAAGGUAUAUUGAAAAUCAAAUUGUUUAUUUAGCAAAUCAUGCAAGAGUAGCAGGAACACCAGGCUAAAUCAAAAGCAUAACCGGAGAACCUAAAAGUGUCAGCAAUACUGGCAAAUCAGAUGUCCAUUUUAGUCGUACAGUUAUAAAAAAACAUUUCUACCAUUGUAGCGUCCACCCCUGUAAACAAUUUGCAUGGCGAUGCACAAGUGAAGGAGAUCCUCGUUUCAAACAAGAGAAUUAGUUGGCACAUUUCCCCAUCUCAGUUACCUUUUCUUCAAAAGGAGGCACAGUAACAGGGUAAAGACGAUUAAGGAGUUGGGCAAACCAUAUUAUGAUCUCCCUAGUUGAGUGGUCGGGCCGUCUGUUCAAGGCUUGACGCUUCUGCUGAGGCGCCGGGGCCGGACGCUUCUGCUGAGGCGCCGGACGCUUCUGCUGAGGCGCCGGGGCCGGACGCUUCUGCUGAGGCGCCGGGGCCGGACGCUUCUGCUGAGGCGCCGGGGCCGGACGCUUCUGCUGAGACGCCGGGGCCGGACGCUAUUGCUGAGGCGCCGGAGGCUUCUGCUGAGGCGCCGGGGCCGGACGCUUCUGCUGAGGCGCCGGGGCCAGUAGCUUCUGCUGACUUGGCAUUGCGGCCAGUAGCUUCUGCUGAGGCGCCGGGGCCGGACGCUUCUGCUGAGGCGCCGGGGCCGGAGGCUUCUGCUGAUGCGCCGGAGGCUUCUGCUGAGGCGCCGGGGCCGGACGCUUCUGCUGAGGCGCCGGGGCCGGACGCUUCUGCUGAGGCGCCGGGGCCGGACGCUUCUGCUGAGGCGCCGGGGCCGGACGCUUCUGCUGAGGCUCCGGGGCCGGACGCUAUUGCUGAGGCGCCGGGGCCGGACGCUUCUGCUGAGGCGCCGGGGCCGGACGCUUCUGCUGAGGCGCCGGGGCCGGACGCUAUUGCUGAGGCGCCGGGGCCGGACUUCACACUUGAAGAAGCAUCAUGGCCAGUAGCUUCUGCUGACGUGACAUCGUGGCCAGUAGCUUCUGCUGACUUGGCAUUGCGGCCAGUAGCUUCUGCUGACGUGGCAUUGCGGCCAGUAGCUUCUGCUGACUUUGCAUUGUGGCCAGUAGCUUCUGCUGAUGUGGCAUUGCGGCCAGUAGCUUCUGCUGAUGUGGCAUUGCGGCCAUAAACUUUAGAAUUUGGACUAGGCACCACACUUGCUUGGGCAUAGGAUCCAGUUGGGUCAGGUCCAGUGUGGGCAGGAUGCCCAUGAGAAUUACCUAGAAAACAAAAAGAGGUAAAAUCCCAGCCUUAAGCUAUCGGAACAAAACUGAUUUGAACUGAAGUAGUGUAAACCAAAACACACCUUUAAGUGUAAAACAAGUUAUCCCUCCAAUUAGCAGGCAGCAAAUCCAGGAAACACUACAAAAUAUUCAGACAGUUAAACACAAGUAACCAGUGAAAACUUUAAGACAAGGUAAAUCAACCAGAUGACUACAUUGAAAAACUAACCUCAACGAGAGUCCAAAAGUUACAGCCAUUUUAGUGAUCAAAACCACAACAGUAUUCAGAACUAAUGCUAGCCAGACACCCUGCCAGAAUAUCUGUUGCUAUGACUAACAGCUGUUUUGGUUGCACCUCAUAAAGGAAACCCAGACCCUUCUAACCUGGCUGGCUAAUUAUGUACAGCUGUCAACCAAUGAACUUC